UACGUAGGGUGCAAGCGUUGUCCGGAAUUAUUGGGCGUAAAGAGCUCGUAGGCGGUCUGUCACGUCGGCUGUGAAAACCUGGGGCUCAACUCCGGGCCUGCAGCCGAUACGGGCAGACUAGAGUUCGGCAGGGGAGACUGGAAUUCCUGGUGUAGCGGUGAAAUGCGCAGAUAUCAGGAGGAACACCGAUGGCGAAGGCAGGUCUCUGGGCAUUAACUGACGCUGAGGAGCGAAAGCAUGGGGAGCGAACAGG
rnacentral:rRNA from 1 species